rnacentral:rRNA from 1 species
UACGAAGGGGGCUAGCGUUGUUCGGAAUCACUGGGCGUAAAGCGCACGUAGGCGGAUUGUUAAGUCGGGGGUGAAAUCCUGGAGCUCAACUCCAGAACUGCCUUCGAUACUGGAGAGCUCGAGUCCGGGAGAGGUGAGUGGAACUGCGAGUGUAGAGGUGAAAUUCGUAGAUAUUCGCAAGAACACCAGUGGCGAAGGCGGCUCACUGGCCCGGUACUGACGCUGAGGUGCGAAAGCGUGGGGAGCAAACAGG